GAUGAACGCUAGCGGCAGGCCUAACACAUGCAAGUCGAGGGGUAGAACACUUCGGUGUUUGAGACCGGCGCACGGGUGCGUAACGCGUAUGCAAUCUACCUUAUACAGGGGAAUAGCCCAGAGAAAUUUGGAUUAAUGCCCCAUAGCAUUACGACUUGGCAUCAAGAUGUAAUUAAAGUUCCAACGGUAUAAGAUGAGCAUGCGUCCCAUUAGUUAGUUGGUAAGGUAACGGCUUACCAAGACGAUGAUGUGUAGGGGUCCUGAGAGGGACAACCCCCGCACUGGUACUUAGACACGGACCAGACUCCUACGGGAGGCAGCAGUGAGGAAUAUUGGUCAAUGUUUGCAAGACUGAACCAGCCAUGCCGCGUGCAGGAAGACGGUCCUAUGGAUUGUAAACUGCUUUUAUACAGGAAGAAACCCUCCCACGUGUGGGAGCUUGACGGUACUGUAGGAAUAAGGAUCGGCUAACUCCGUGCCAGCCGCCGCGGUAA
rnacentral:rRNA from 1 species